GCUCGCCGGUUUGCGCGCGCAACGCAAACGCCGCCUGCGAUUGACCAAACGGCUGCGAAGGGUCAAUGCCGCCGGCGAGAGCGCGCCGUACGCCCGCGGCGUCGUCCCGCGCGAUAGCGCCCACCAGCGCCUCAAAGCAUGCAUUAUAGUCGCCGCAGCCGCCUCCUGUAGGCGGUCUGUUGAUGUCGUCGUCGUCGUAGACAAGCCUCGGCAGCGCGGUCGCUACAGGUCGUUGCAUGAUCUCGGUGCGCACAGGACGAGCGGCGGUACCAGUGGGCGAUGAUCGUGCCUUGGGUGUUGUUUUUUUUAUCUUUUCGCCUGGCGGCCUCCUUCUCUUUCCCUUUCCCUUUUCCGGUAUGUCCUAAACCCGGGAUCAGGAUGGCUGCGGCGCGCCAAAGAGAUGGCUUUUUUCCUCCUGUGUGUAAAGAGCGAGAAGGGAAAAGAGAGAGAGAGCAAC
rnacentral:lncRNA from 1 species